rnacentral:rRNA from 1 species
UACGGGGGGGGCAAGCGUUGUUCGGAAUUACUGGGCGUAAAGGGCUCGUAGGCGGCCAACUAAGUCAGACGUGAAAUCCCUCGGCUUAACCGGGGAACUGCAUCUGAUACUGGAUGGCUUGAGUUCGGGAGAGGGAUGCGGAAUUCCCGGUGUAGCGGUGAAAUGCGCAGAUAUCGGGAGGAACACCGGUGGCGAAGGCGGUUCUCUGGGCCUUACCUGACGCUGAGGAGCGAAAGCGUGGGGCGCGAACAGG